GCUACGGGAGGCAACAGUGAGGAAUAUUGGUCAAUGGCCGGAAGGCUGAACCAGCCAUGCCGCGUGAAGGUCAGUGCCCUAUGGGCGUUAAACUUCUUUUGUGCGGGAGCAAUAAUGGUCAAGUGUGGCCAGACGAGAGUACCGUACGAAUAAGCAUCGGCUAAAUCCGUGCCAGCAGCGGCGGUAAUAGGGGGGAUGCAAGCGUUAACCGGAUUUAUUGGGUGUAAAGGGUGCGGAUGCUGUGAGGUAAGUCAGCGGUGAAAUGCCCCCGCUCAACGGGGUGAAGUGCCAUUGAUACUGCCUUGCUGGAAUGCGGAUGCCGUGGGAGGAAUGUGUGGUGUAGCGGUGUAAUGCAUAGAGAGCACACAGAACACCGAGUGCGAAGGCAUCUCACGAAUCCGCGAUUGACGCUGAUGCACGAAAGCGUGGGUAUCAAACAGGAUUAGAUACCCCAGUAGUC
rnacentral:rRNA from 1 species